rnacentral:lncRNA from 1 species
CACUGGCCCUAGAGCUGUCGGCGCCUUCCCUUUUCCUCUCCCCAUGUGUAGCCACAGGCUUCGGCAGCCAUCCUCCGUCGAACCCUGGUCCUCUGCAGGCCUCUCCCCGUGACACAAAGUCCUUGCCCCGGCCCUGCACUUAAUAGGUCCUUGCCAAGAAUACGCUGAGCUAGGACAAGAAGAUUGCUGACCUGGAAAUGUGGGAGAUGAUGUUGACACCUUUAAUAACAAGGAUGUCAAUGAUUUGACUGAUUGGUGCCCUCUGGUGGUAAAGAAAACGGGACACACGCCUUCAGUCUGUAUGGCAUCACCUGGUGCUCUUCAAGAGAGGGCUCUCUUGAAGAAUUCUUUCUUCCAAAGAGAAAUGAUAUGGAAAUCUUGAAAGAUAAAUGAGAGGAUUUCAGAAGUUUAUUUAUUAGGGAGGGAAGAGGUAUAAAGAAACUUCAGUUAUCUGAUACAAGCUCAGUAGGGGCAGGUCUCUGUCACUAUCACACACAAGGAGGGAUGAAUUGCAAGAGGAGGAUUUUCAUGAUGGAGAGAAAAGAAGAUACCCUCUUUGGAAUCCAAGUACACUCAGCUAGUAUUUUCCAUCAUUUUGGAACCUAAUUUUCCCAUGAGACUUCCUAAAGGAAAGAAUCAGAAUCAACAUUUCAUGAAUAAAAUGCCAGAACUACAAAA